rnacentral:rRNA from 1 species
AUGUAUCCCAUUGCUUGGGCAGCAGUUGAGGUGGAAAAUAAGGACUCCUGGUUCUGGUUUAUGGCAUUGUUAAAUAAAGACUUGGAGAUUUCAAAUCAAGGUGAAGGCUGGGUGUUUAUAUUAGAUCAGCAGAAAGGUCUAAUCAAUGCAAUUUCAAAGGUUGUACCAAGAGCUGAACACAAAAAAAUUUCUAGGCGCAUUUAUGCUAACUGGAAGAAAAACCAUAGGGACCAGAAAUACCAGAAGAGAUUUUGGGCUUGUGCAAAGUCUUCUAACAGAGUCCAGUUUAAUUUAAACAGGGGAAAGCUUGCUCAACUCACACCAGAAGGAGCAAGAGACAUGAUGCAGGCUGGGCCUUAA